UCUAUCUUCACCGCCGCCAGAGUUAAACAACAACAAAUCUAUUCCAAUUUCAACUUUAUUGCUGUGUUUUCCAUUUUCAAGAGAAGCUAAGUCAAAGGCUGAAAGAAAGAAUGACAUGUCCAUUGAAUGAAGAUGGUGAUAUGAAGCUUAUAGAAGAGAAGCAAAAAGGAGGGAAGAAUAAUAUUAUUGGAAAUUUGAAGGAACAAAAACAGGUAGAAAAAAGGUGUGAAGAAGGGUCUGAAUAUGAGUAUGCGAUUAGUUAUGUAGAGGUUGAAUUUGAAGAUGACGACGCCAGUGAAUAUGAAAGUAGCAGCAGCUCUAGUGAUUACGAUUAUGAAAGCAGCGACUCUGAUGAUUAUGAGUCUGUCACUGGUGAUUUUUGUUACAGCAGUAGUGACACUGAUGAUGUGCUUAGCUACGAUGAUGAUGAAUUUGAAAUUGAUUAUAUUCACAGUGACACUGACAACAAUGACACUGACACUGAUUAAGGUGUGAUUCUUGGAUCCUGGUAGCGAAGCCUUUUUCUGUCCUUAGAUUUAUGAGUUAUUGAGUGACAAGUUAAGUAAGUAGGUAGGGAAUUAUAUAUAUAUAUACACUAGUAUAUGGUUAUGAAGUUUUCAACUAUCUGACCAUUUAAAUAAGUUUAUAUUAUCUGAUGACGAUGAUUAAACCAGUGUAGCCGUGACAUGUUAAUUUGCUUUAACUUUUCACGUUUGUGUUUAUGUUUCUGUCUACUCAAGUGUAGUGUUUAUGUUGGAAUUUUAGCAGA